rnacentral:rRNA from 1 species
CCUACGGGUGGCAGCAGUGGGGAAUAUUGCACAAUGGGGGAAACCCUGAUGCAGCGAUGCCGCGUGGAGGAAGAAGGUUUUCGGAUUGUAAACUCCUUUUAUCAGGGACGAUAAUGACGGUACCUGAAGAAAAAGCUCCGGCUAACUACGUGCCAGCAGCCGCGGUAAUACGUAGGGAGCAAGCGUUAUCCGGAUUUACUGGGUGUAAAGGGAGCGUAGACGGUGCAGCAAGUCUGAUGUGAAAGGUCGGGGCCCAACCCCGGGACUGCAUUGGAAACUGUUGAACUGGAGUACAGGAGAGGUAAGCGGAAUUCCUAGUGUAGCGGUGAAAUGCGUAGAUAUUAGGAGGAACACCAGUGGCGAAGGCGGCUUACUGGACUGUAACUGACGUUGAGGCUCGAAAGCGUGGGGAGCAAACAGGAUUAGAUACCCCUGUAGUC